CAGUCGCCGCGGUAAUACGUAGGGGGCUAGCGUUGCUCGGAAUCACUGGGCGUAAAGGGUGCGUAGGCGGGUCUUUAAGUCAGGGGUGAAAUCCUGGAGCUCAACUCCAGAACUGCCUUUGAUACUGGGGAUCUUGAGUUCGGGAGAGGUGAGUGGAACUGCGAGUGUAGAGGUGAAAUUCGUAGAUAUUCGCAAGAACACCAGUGGCGAAGGCGGCUCACUGGCCCGAUACUGACGCUGAGGCACGAAAGCGUGGGGAGCAAACAGGAUUAGAUACCCGCGUAGUCCCUGUCUCUUAUAC
rnacentral:rRNA from 1 species